AUUGAACGCUGGCGGCAGGCCUAACACAUGCAAGUCGAACGCGUGGCGGACGGGUGAGUAAUGUCUGGGAAACUGCCUGAUGGAGGGGGAUAACUCCUGGAAACGGUAGCUAAUACCGCAUACCAUCGGAUGUGCCCAGAUGGGAUUAGCUAGUAGGUGGUGUAAAGGCUCACCUAGGCCACGAUCCCUAGCUGGUCUGAGAGGAUGACCAGCCAAAAGGGAACUGAGACACGGGACAGACGCCUACGGGAGGCAGCAGUGGGGAAUAUUGCACAAUGGGCGAAAGCCUGAUGCAGCCAGGCCGCGUGUAUGAAGAAGGCAUUAGGGUGGUAAAGUACUUUCAGAGGGGAGGCGUUACCCGCAGAAGAAGCACCGGCUAACUCCGUGCCAGCAGCCGCGGUAAUAC
rnacentral:rRNA from 1 species